rnacentral:rRNA from 1 species
GAUGAACGCUAGCGGCAGGCCUAAUACAUGCAAGUCGAACGGGAUCCAGAUCAAAGCUUGCUUUGGCCUGGUGAGAGUGGCGCACGGGUGCGUAACGCGUGAGCAACCUACCCUUGUCAGGGGGAUAGCCCGGCGAAAGUCGGAUUAAUACCGCAUGACAUCAUUGAGAGGCAUCUUUCGAUGAUCAAAGAUUUAUCGGACAAGGAUGGGCUCGCGUGACAUUAGCUAGUUGGUAAGGUAACGGCUUACCAAGGCUGCGAUGUCUAGGGGCUCUGAGAGGAGAAUCCCCCACACUGGUACUGAGACACGGACCAGACUCCUACGGGAGGCAGCAGUAAGGAAUAUUGGUCAAUGGACGGAAGUCUGAACCAGCCAUGCCGCGUGCAGGAAGACGGCCCUAUGGGUUGUAAACUGCUUUUAUACGGGAACAAACGUCGGUACGUGUACCGGUCUGAGUGUACCGUAAGAAUAAGGAUCGGCUAACUCCGUG